GUGAAGUGCAGUUUUACACUAUUCAUGUUCAACGUUUGACCGUUUGUCUUAUUUGAAAAUUUUUUAUGAUUAGUAUUUUUAUUGCAAUUAGAUGAUAAAACAUGAAUAUUACUUUAUGUGUGACUAAAUAUUUUCAAAAUUUUUAACAAAAUUUUCAAAUAAGACGGACGGUCAAAUGUUGGGCACGGAUAUCCACGGUUGCACUUAUU
rfam:Oryza sativa Japonica Group DNA, chromosome 11, cultivar: Nipponbare, complete sequence.